rnacentral:lncRNA from 1 species
AGCUCCCGCCCGCGCCGCCCAUUGGCCCGGGCGCGUCACGUGCCCGUGCCAUGCCGCCGGGGGGCCGCGGCCGCUGCUGAUUCAUUGGCUGUAGCGGGGCGCGGCUCGGCUCGGCUCGGCUGGGCUCGGCUGGCGCGGCGUUGCAGCUGCUGCCACCGCCGCGAGGCGGCGCCACAGCAGGCAGGAAGAUCGGAUACUUCUCAUACAAGACCUUGAGCUGCAUCUCACGUCCUGCACAUUUAGGAUCCUGUGAACUGGCAAAGAAGCACAGACCAUUUGGCUGAGUAUUUCCUGCAGACUCCUUUCUCAUCUGUGCUUGGAAGUGGCACAGCUUGCUCAAAACAAUAGCCGUAGGUUAGGGCUGUAGAAAGCUGGGAUCUGUAUGUUUUAGCUCACGCACAGCAGAGUACCUAAGUUUGUGCUUCAUUUCCUCAUUGGCUUCUUUGUGAUUUCAUCUCUUAGUCCUUGGGCUGGAGUAAAAAGAAAUGCAGUGGUGAUGAUGGCUGGUUCCUUUGCCCCCCAGCAUACAGAAUAUUGCUGCUAUUAUGGGGACUCAAGGUACAGGAACAGCCUGAGUUGUUAACUUGUUCUAACCAACAGCUUCUGGUUUAAUUGCACUGCCUAGACCACAGAGCUGGUGUAUCAAGCUUACUUAGCCUUGGACUCCUCCAUUCAAAAUGUUGCUGCUUUCUGUGCCUGUUUGGCUUCUGGGAUCUUCAUAGUUUGCAAGGGGCCAGCAGUUUGUUUAUUCUAUGAAGUCUAUCAAGUGUUCAGACUCUGCAGCAGUAAGCAGAAUGGAAACAUGAAAAAUGAACAUAGUUUUUGAUUGAAAAUGUGCCUCACUGCUUGC